GUUUGAUCCUGGCUCAGGACGAACGCUGGCGGCGUGCCUAACACAUGCAAGUCGAACGGAACUGUUUUGAAAGAUUUCUUCGGAAUGAAUUUGAUUUAGUUUAGUGGCGGACGGGUGAGUAACGCGUGAGUAACCUGCCUUCAAGAGGGGGAUAACAUUCUGAAAAGAAUGCUAAUACCGCAUGACAUAUCGGAACCACAUGGUUCUGAUAUCAAAGAUUUUAUCGCUUGAAGAUGGACUCGCGUCCGAUUAGUUAGUUGGUGAGGUAACGGCUCACCAAGACCGCGAUCGGUAGCCGGACUGAGAGGUUGAACGGCCACAUUGGGACUGAGACACGGCCCAGACUCCUACGGGAGGCAGCAGUGGGGGAUAUUGCGCAAUGGGGGCAACCCUGACGCAGCAACGCCGCGUGAAGGAUGAAGGUUUUCGGAUUGUAAACUUCUUUUAUUAAGGACGAAAAAUGACGGUACUUAAUGAAUAAGCUCCGGCUAACUACGUGCCAGCAGCCGCGGUAAUACGUAGGGAGCAAGCGUUGUCCGGAUUUACUGGGUGUAAAGGGUGCGUAGGCGGCUUUGCAAGUCAGAUGUGAAAUCUAUGGGCUCAACCCAUAAACUGCAUUUGAAACUGUAGAGCUUGAGUGAAGUAGAGGCAGGCGGAAUUCCCCGUGUAGCGGUGAAAUGCGUAGAGAUGGGGAGGAACACCAGUGGCGAAGGCGGCCUGCUGGGCUUUAACUGACGCUGAGGCACGAAAGCGUGGGUAGCAAACAGGAUUAGAUACCCUGGUAGUCCACGCUGUAAACG
rnacentral:rRNA from 1 species